rnacentral:rRNA from 1 species
GAAUCUUGGACAAUGGGCGCAAGCCUGAUCCAGCCAUGCCGCGUGAGUGACGAAGGCCUUAGGGUUGUAAAGCUCUUUUGCCGGGGACGAUAAUGACGGUACCCGGAGAAUAAGUCCCGGCUAACUUCGUGCCAGCAGCCUCGGUAAUACGAAGGGGACUAGCGUUGUUCGGAAUUACUGGGCGUAAAGCGCACGUAGGCGGAUUUGUAAGUCAGGGGUGAAAUCCCGGGGCUCAACCUCGGAACUGCCUUUGAUACUGCAAAUCUCGAGUCCGAUAGAGGUGGGUGGAAUUCCUAGUGUAGAGGUGAAAUUCGUAGAUAUUAGGAAGAACACCGGUGGCGAAGGCGGCCCACUGGAUCGGUACUGACGCUGAGGUGCGAAAGCGUGGGGAGCAAACAGG